UACGUAGGGUGCAAGCGUUAAUCGGAAUCACUGGGCGUAAAGGGUGCGUAGGCGGGUCUUUAAGGUCAGGGGUGAAAUCCUGGAGCUCAACUCCAGAACUGCCUUUGAUACUGAAGAUCUUGAGUUCGGGAGAGGUGAGUGGAACUGCGAGUGUAGAGGUGAAAUUCGUAGAUAUUCGCAAGAACACCAGUGGCGAAGGCGGCUCACUGGCCCGAUACUGACGCUGAGGCACGAAAGCGUGGGGAGCAAACAGG
rnacentral:rRNA from 1 species